rnacentral:rRNA from 1 species
AAGCCUGAUGCAGCCAUGCCGCGUGUGUGAAGAAGGCCUUCGGGUGUAAAGCACUUUCAGUUGUGAGGAAGGUGGUGUCGUUAAUAGCGGCAUCAUUUGACGUUAGCAACAGAAGAAGCACCGGCUAACUCCGUGCCAGCAGCCGCGGUAAUACGGAGGGUGCGAGCGUUAAUCGGAAUUACUGGGCGUAAAGCGCAUGCAGGUGGUUUGUUAAGUCAGAUGUGAAAGCCCCGGGGCUCAACCUCGGAACUGCAUUUGAAACUGGCAGACUAGAGUACUGUAGAGGGGGUAGAAUUUCAGGUGUAGCGGUGAAAUGCGUAGAGAUCUGAAGGAAUACCGGUGGCGAAGGCGGCCCCCUGGACAGAUACUGACACUCAGAUCGCGUAAAGCGUGGGGAGCAAACCAGGAUUAGAUACCCCUCGGUAG